CUGCUAACCAGUAUGGUAUGUUUUUUUUGUUUAAUCUGCAAUUUAUGAUAAUUCUUUGUUAUUUAUGUAUGGAAUUUAUUGGGAGGAAAUGCAGGAAAGAAUUCAUUUACGUGGUUUGGUCCAAGACCAAGGGUGAACAUUACGGACCCUGAAAAAAUAAGAGAAAUACUUAACAAAUUUAAUGACUUCCAGAAGAUACAUACCAAUCCACUGCUUAAUUUGCUUGUAAGCGGCCUUGCUAACCUCGACGGAGACCGAUGGAGCAAGCGUAGAAAAAUCAUAAACCCUGCAUUUCAUCAAGAUAAGUUGAAGGUAUAGAAUAGUGAUGGGUAAUCAGACUUUACAGAAAACAUCAUACUUAAACCUAUGCUUUUCUGAUUUAGAAAUAAUUGGAUGCAGAAUAUGUUGCCAGCAUUUUAUCAAAGUUGUAGUGACAUGUUAAGCAAAUGGGAGAAGAUGGUGUGUACAAAAGGAUACAGUGAGUUAGAUGUGUGGCCUUAUCUCGUAGAUUUGACAAGAGAUGUGAUUUCCCGAUCUGCUUUUGGAAGCAGCUUCGAAGAAGGCAAACGAAUUUUCCAAUUACUAGAGGACCAACUCGUUCACAUAAUCAAAUUAAUACAAACUGUUUACAUUCCAGGAUGGAGGUAACCGUCAACUUAAUUUACUUGAAAAAGGUUGCAAAUGUUGGAAUUCGCUAAAUUCGUGUUUGUUUUCUUGAAGGUUUUUGCCAACGAAGACAAACAGGGAGAUGAAGAUGAAACACAGGGACAUAAAAGAGUUGCUUAUGGAAAUGAUAAAGAGAAGGGAGAAGGCAAUUAAAGCAGGGGAAGAGAGCAAUGAGGACUUGUUGGACAUACUUGUGGAAUCCAAUAUCAGAGAAAUGGAAGCAAAGAAUAUUGGGAUGAGCAUUGAGGAUGUGAUUGAGGAAUGCAAGCUGUUUUACUUAGCUGGCCAAGAGACCACUUCGGUCUUACUGGUGUGGACUAUGGUUUUAUUAGCAAGGUAUCCCGAUUGGCAAAGUAAAGCAAGAGAGGAGGUUUUGCAUGUUUUGGGUGACAGUAAACCUGACGCUGAUGGCCUUAAUCGUCUCAAAGUUGUAAGUCCCUAGCAUGUCUUUUGAAGGUCCGAUCAAUGAGGUCGACAACUCAAAAACUUUGUUUCUUUUUUCGCUAAUUCUACAGGUAACAAUGAUAUUGUACGAGGUUCUAAGGCUGUACCCACCGGUGGUUGAGCUAGAACGUUCCGUUCCAAAAGAAAUAAAACUGGGGAAUUUGUUGUUACCAGUAGGAACAGAAGUUUCGGUUCCGAUCCUGCUGAUCCACCAUGACAAAGAUCUUUGGGGCGAUGACGCACGGGAAUUUAAGCCAGAGCGGUUCGCGGAAGGGGUUUCCAAAGCAACAAAGAGUCAAGUCACGUUUCUGCCAUUCGGAUGGGGUCCUAGGAUCUGUAUUGGCCAAAAUUUUGCUAUGAUGGAAGCCAAAAUGGCGAUGGCUAUGAUUCUCCAACGCUUCUGGUUCGAGCUUUCCCCUUCCUAUGCUCACUCUCCUUACGGCAGGGCAACUCUUCGUCCACAGCAUGGUGCACAGAUAAUUUUACAUAAACUUGGCUGUAAUUGAAUUGUUAUGUAAACAAAUCUUUGUGAAAACAUAGCGUUUUAGUUUAUCGUCAAAGUCCGGUGUCUGUAAUGGUACAAAUUCGAUGCAUGAAUAGUAAAGUUUGAGAUGUUUGGUGAAGUCCGAAAUAAUAUGCAGAAAUUGAGUGUGGUAAUUAUCAAUCAAAUAAUUCGGUACAAAGACUUACAUGGAAAUUAAAGCAGGGGGAGUUGAAAAUGACUACUCUGCUUUGGGCAUCAAUUUAGAAAGAUUUAAAGUACAAAUGUGUUAUUAGUUAAGGGAUUUGUUUUAAAGAGGGAAUGACAAUUAAACCUCAUGGUUGAUUUGUGGAAGGGAACCGAUGAUGGGAUGAUUAUUCUUAGUGGUAAAAAAAACUAUUGUGGAGGUUAUUAUACUUGUUAUCAUCGGCUUAAAAUUCGAAUGGGUUCAAGUCGGAUUAUAUCGAGCUUGUAAGAUGAGUUCACGGAUCAAAUUUGCAUAAUAAAAAUACUUAAAUGAAAAAAAUUUCUAUUUUAGAGGGACCAGAGCCCCUACCAAUUCCCGGCUCAGCUACUAAACAAUACCCAUAUCAUAUAAAUAAAUACCACCAUAAAAAAAACUCAAAGAAAAACACUGACAAAUGAUAAAUAGAUAGAUGUUGGAUAAGUGUCCAAAAUAUGAUUUAAGUGAAGAUACAUGGGGUAGGUGUCACGGAAAUGUGAAUACAAGAAUACUACUAAUGGGAUGUGUACAGUUGAAUGUAGGGAGCAAAAAGAGGAGUGAAUCAUUUUGGUAACAUUGGGACAAGAAACAUAAUGAACAAAAUGGAAGGAGAGGAAGCUAGUAAAAGAAAUUUUUUGGGUCAUAUAAUUUGUUUGGCAUAUAUUUUUAUAAUUUUUAAAUAUCAUUUUGGACUUGAAUUAUAAUUUUUUUAUAUAUUAUCUUAAAAUUGUAUAAAUUUUAAGGAGUUAAAACAAAAUUAUUCUAUUUUUAGAUGGUUAAAGUAGAGAUGAUAAUGGGUUGAGCUAUUCGGCCCAGCCUGACGAUCCACCCGAAAAAUAGGAAGGUUUGGGUAAAAAUAUAGGCUUGAAAUAUGAAUUUGAGCAAAAAAAGAGGCCCGUUUAGAAAAUGGGCCGAGCCUCGGGUAAAACCUUUUGGGUCUAGACCUGACCUAAAUUAUAUAUUAAAUAUAUAUAUUUUUAUUUUUAAUCAAAUAUACUUUUGUUUUAUUAUUAAUUUGGUUAUUAUUUUAGUUCUAAUUUGUUUCAAUUUUAAUAUAACUACUUUUUAUUAUAUUUUCAAUUUGUGCAUUGUUUUAAGAAUUAUUUUAGUCUCAUUAUUUAUUUAUUUUUUAUUUUAAUAUUUGUUUUAAAAUUUUUUAUUUAUUGAAAUAAGCUAAAAAAAUUAAUAUGGGUUGGACCAGACCGGGCUCGGGCCUAGUAAUUUUCUUUUGGGCCGGACUUAAACAAAUUUUUAAGCCCAUAUUUUGAAUUGGGUCCUACACUAGAAAAUGGACCUAAAAUUUUGUAUUACCUUUAGGUCAGAGCUAUCCUCGUUUUGCAUUUCUUUGAGAUUCAGCCUUAUUUACUUUUGAUUGCCCACUCAAUAGAGGGUUGAGUAGAAAUAUUUGGUGAAGCAAGCUAAGCUAUCAAUCAAGGUGUGCAUAAUUAUUUAAAUGUAAUUCUAAUAUUAAAAUAAAAUUUUUAUUAAUAUAGUAUCAACAAGCAUUAAAUGUAAUCAUCAUAUACUAUUAAAUUUUCAAUAAGAGAAAACAAGCUUGAACUUUAAAAACGAUGUUACUAAAAACAUUAUCACAAAUCUUGAAAUAUAAAAAAUACUUUUUAAUAUAAUAAAAAAAUAAUUUUAAAACCGAGAUGAAUAAAAUUCUAAUUUUAAUUAAUGAUACCAACAACAAAUCAAUAUUUAAAUUAAAAUUUAUCUUAAUUUAAUAUAAUAAAAUUGGACUUGAAUAUUGAAUUUUUGAGUCUUGGGCAAAGUAGAGGUGCUCAUGGGCCGGGUUGGGUCGGGUUUGGGAAAAAUUUCGGCCCGCAUCCUAGGCUCGGGCUCGGCCCGACCCAAAUAUGGGCCUAAAAUUUUGUCUAGGCCUAGCCCGGCCCGGCCCAACUCAUUUUUUUUAAUAAACACCAAAAAUUUAUUUUGAAAAUAAAAAAAUAAAAAAAGUAUUUUAAAAAUAUUUUAAAAUUUUUAAAAAAUAUAUAUAUUUAUUAUAUAUUCGGGCCGGGCCAGGCCCGAGCCAAAAAAGUGGCGCCCAAGGCCCGGCCUGUUUUCUAAACGGGACUCAUUUUUUACCCAAACCCAUAUUUCGGGCCUAUAUUUCUACCCGAAUCUCUCAUAUUUAGGGCGAACCGUCGGGCCGGACCGGGCCGCCCGGCCAUGAACACCUCUAGGACAAAGUCACUCAAUGAAUGCAUGGAAAGAAAUAAUGCAACUUGGUGAUAGCUUUUGUUGGAGUUAUAUGCUUUUUUUUUACGUAGUGGAACUUUCGGUGGAUUUUCAAGUUUCAUGAACUUUAUACUCUAUGCUUUACGUGAAAAAAAAAAUUCAUUGGACUUAAAAGUCUACCAAAAGUUUCACUAAAAAAAAAACCAUUGCUACAAGAUUACAACAUAAAGUUACAAUAAGAGCUUAUAACUCAACAAAGGCUAUCAAUAAAUAAUCUCAAACAAAUUAAAGAGAAAUGUUGAGAGUACCACUCGAAUAGUGAUUAACUUUAAAAAUUGAAAACCCAAAGUUAUAAUAUCCCAAACGAAAUCAAACCAUAAACAUUAAAUUUUUCGAGUCUACUAGAUACUGCAAAAAAUUCAGCUCCAACAGACACCAAAUGAACCUAUGAUCGAAGAAAAUACGAAAACUAGUCUAGCUAAAUCAAGCUGCCAAACUUACUUUUUAUCUUAUCUUUAAUUUGCUGUGAAAUUCAAAACUAAGGUUUUGUACUUAGAACAACUUUCAAAAAGUUAAUUUUGAAAAAUGGAUUGAAUUUUCAAAAUAGAUGAUAUUUUAUUGUGUUAAAAUUUUAUUCGUUGUUUGAAAAAAAAUUUAAAUCAUUUUCUUAGAAUUAUUUUUAGUGAAACAAACAUAUCAUAAAUAUAUUUGUUAUAAAAUAUUUAUAUUAAUAUUUUCUUUUAACAAUUAAAAUAUAUUUUGUGAUAAGGUAUAUUUUAUAAUAAUUAAUAUCAUAUAUACUUAAUAAUAAAUCAUGUCUAAUUAAAAUUUAAUUUCAAUUAAAUAUAUUAAUAAAGCUACAUAUAAUCAUAUUUUAUAUAAUAAAAAUAUUAAUAUAAAUAUUUUUUUAAUAAUAUAUUAAAGAAUAUUUAAAAUUUAAAUUUAUUAUUACUAAGAUUAAUUAUUAAAAUAAAAAUGUAAUGUUAAAUAAUUUAUCCAAUGAUAAGUUAUAUUAAUAAUUUAUUAUAUUAUUAAAUAUAAAUAAUUAAAUAUGUAUGUUUAAUAAUAUUAUGUUAUAAUAUUUAUUAUUAAUAUUUUAAUAUUUUUAAACAACCAUGUUUUAAAGAUGGUGGUGAUGGUGAUGGUGCAGGCCCCCUUGUUACAAUUACAAUAUUUUUAAGUGGGAUGCAUGUAAUAUAUUGUUAGGGUUUUAGAGUGUGUGGUCUUUAAAAGGGUUAAAUUAUAUAUUUAUAUAAUAUGAUUAUUGUUUAUAAAUAUAAUAUUGUAGAUAAACUUUUAUGCAUGUCAAUAUGUAUCCUACUCUGGGGUUAAUAUGUAUUUUUAGAUAUGGAUUCACCUAUAUAAUAGUAUGAAUCCAUCAUGCGGUCUCAUGAAAUAUACAAACACAUAUCGUGCGAACACAAAGUACGAACAAUAAAAAGUACAAAUCAAGACCAAUUGAGUAAUUGAAUAGCAGAUAGGUAAUAAUGACUAUCCCCUCUUGUUUGAAUUUAUUUUAUUUCCAGUGAGUUAUCGUUUAUGAUAAAUUUACAACAAAUGUUUUUAUCAUUAUUUUGUUGGUAAAUGAUAAUAAGAUUAAACUUUACUUUCUUAAGCUCCUUCAAUUCUUUGGACGUUAGCAAGUAAACUUGAGCUUCAGCAUUCCACAAACACCUUAAUUUGAAGACACAGUUCUCCCAUACUAAAAACAACAUGGACGUUUACCUUGUAAUUAGAGAUUUGGGCUCAUUGUUAGGUUAUUAAUGAUACGGGGAUGGAGAGCUUUAAACUGGGUAUGGCUGGCCCCAAAGAGGCUCGAAACGUGCUUGAGACUAGAGGUCCAGGCAAAUUUUUAGGCCCAUUUUUUAGGCCUGGACUGGGCCCGACUCGAAAUAUGAGCUUAAAAAUUUGUCUAAGUUCGGUCCAAAAGAAAAUUGUUAAGCCUAAGCCCGGCCCAUAUUAAAUUUUACAACACCAAAAAACUAUAUAUUUAAUAUAUAUAUUUGAUUAAAAAGUAUAUUUAAUUAAAAAUAAAAAUAUAUAUUUAAUAUAUAAUUCGGGCCGGGCCGAACUCGGGCCAAAAAAGUUUUACUCGGGGCUGGUCCGUUUUCUAAACAGACCUCGUUUUUUUGUCAAAAUCCAUAUUUUAGGCUUAUAUUUUUACCCGAAACUUCCUAUUUUUCGGGUGAACCGUCAGGCCGGACUAGGUAGCCCAACCAAUGAUCACCUCUACUUGAGACAACAGGGUUUUGCAGGGAAUUCUUACAGGUUCGUUUCUGGCGACAUAAAAGAGCUCUUCACUAUAAGCAUACAAACAAGAGCCAAACCUAUGCCUCUUAGUGAUGAUAUUGGGCCUUAUGUUGUUCCUUUUCAACAUCAAACCGUCAAUCAGUAUGGUAUGUUUUUUAAUUUAAUCUGCAAUUUAUGAUAAUUCUUUGCUAUUUAUGUAUGGAAUUUAUUGGGAGGAAAUGCUGGGAAGAAUUCAUUUACGUGGAUUGGUCCAAGAUCAAGGGUGAACAUUACGGACCCGGAAAAAUAAGAGAAAUACUUAACAAAUUUAAUGACUUCCAGAAGGUACGUACCAAUCCACUGCUUAAUUUGCUUGUAAGCGGCCUUGUUAACCUCGAAGGAGACCGAUGGAGCAAGCAUAGAAAAAUCAUAACCCUUCAUUUCAUCAAGAUAAGUUGAAGGUAUAGAAUAGUGAUGGGUACUUAGACUUAAUUUACAGAAAACAUCAUACUUAAAUCUAUGCUUUUCUGAUUUAGAAAUGAUUGGAUGCAGAAUAUGUUGCCAGCAUUUUAUCAAAGUUGUUGUGACAUGUUAAGCAAAUGGGAGAAGAUGGUGUGUACAGAAGGAUACAGUGAGUUAGAUGUGUGGCCUUAUCUUGUAGAUUUGACAAGAGAUGUGAUUUCCCGAUCUGCUUUUGGAAGCAGCUUCGAAGAAGGCAGACGAAUUUUCCAAUUACUAGAGGACCAACUCGUUCUCACAAUCAAAUUAAUACAAACUGUUUACAUUCCAGGAUGGAGGUAACCCUCAACUUAAUUUACUUGAAAAAGGUUGCAAAUGUUGGAAUUGGCUAAAUUCGUGUUUGUUUUCUUGAAGGUUUUUGCCAACAAAGACAAACAGGGAGAUGAAGAUGAAACACAGACAUAAAAGAGUCGCUUAGGGAAAUGAUAAAGAGAAGGGAGAAGGCAAUUAAAGCAGGGGAAGAGAGCAAUGAGGACUUGUUGGACAUACUUGUGGAAUCCAAUAUCAGAGAAAUGGAAGCAAAGAAAAAGGGGAUGAGCAUUGAGGAUGUGAUUGAGGAAUGCAAGCUGUUUUACUUUGCUGGCCAGGAGACCACUUCGGUCUUGCUGGUGUGGACUAUGGUUUUAUUAGCAAGGUAUCCCGAUUGGCAAAGUAAAGCAAGAGAGGAGGUUUUGCAUGUUUUGGGUGACAGUAAACCUGAUGCUGAUGGCCUUAAUCGUCUCAAAGUUGUAAGUCCCUAGCAUGUCUCUUGAAGGUCCGAUCUCUGAGGUCGACAACUCAAAAACUUGGUUUCUUUGUUUCGCUAAUUCUACAGUUAACAAUGAUAUUGUACGAGGUUCUAAGGCUGUACCCACCAGUGAUUGAGCUAGGACGUUCCGUUCCAAAAGAAAUAAAACUGGGAAAUUUGUUGUUACCAGCAGGAACAGACGUUUCGGUUCCAAUCCUGCAGAUCCACCAUGACAAAGAUCUUUAGGGCGACGACGCACGGGAAUUUAAGCCACAGCGGUUCACGGAAGGGGUUUCCUAAGCAACAAAGAGUCAAGUCACGUUUCUGCCAUUCGGAUGGGGUCCUAGGAUCUGCAUUGGCCAAAACUUUGCCAUGAUGGGAACCAAAAUGGCGAUGGCUAUGAUUCUCCAACGCUUCUGGUUCGAGCUUUCCUCUUCCUAUGCUUACUCUCCUUACAACAUGGCAACUCUUCGUCCACAGCAUGGUGCACAGAUAAUUUUACAAAAACUUGGCUGUAAUUGAAUUGUUAUGUAAACAAAUCUUUGUGAAAAUAUAGUGUUUUAGUGUAUCGUCAAAGUCUGCCUGUAAUGGUACAAUUCCGAUGCAUGAAUAGUAAAUCUUGAGAUGUUUGGUGAAGUCCGAAAUAAUAUGCAGAAAUUGAGUGUCUUGAAUGGAUGUAGUAUUUAAUGGUGGACAUAGUUGAGGGACUAAUGUGGUAAUUAUCAAACAAAUAAUUGCAUAUGGUACAAAGACUUGUAUGGAAAUUAGAGCAGGGCGAGUUGAAAAUUACUACUUUGCUUCGGGCAUCAAUUUAGAAAGAUUUAAAGUACAAAUGUAUUAUUAGUUUAAGGGAUUUGUUUUAAAGAAGGAAUGACAAUUAAACCUCAUGGUUGAUGUGUGGAAGGGAACCAAUGAUGGGAUGAUUACUCUUAGUGGUAAAAAAAAAAACUAUUAAGGUGGUUAUUAUAGUUGUUAUCACCGGCCCAAAAUUCGAAUAGGUUCAGGUCGGAUUAUAUUGAGCUUGUAGAUGAGUUUGCAUGAUAAUAGGUGUUCACAGAAAGAUAUCUAUAGUUUCCUACAAAGUCACAUGUGAGAUCGUGCAUUGGGACCGCAUAAAAAUGUUUUAUGUUUAGAAUAUGAUACGUGUCUAUGUGUAUGGAAUCUACCUAAUAUAUCAUAUUAAUUAAUAGUAUCAAUUGCGGAGCCAAAAAAUUAUUUCUGAGGGGUCAGAAUUAAAUUGUAUAUUUUUACAAAAAUAAAAAUUAAAUUUCACUAUUUUAAUAGUUUAUUUCUUUUUAAUUUUUAAAUGAUUAAAUUAAAUUUUUAUAAAUUUUUGGGAUCAAAGUACAAUUUUAUCAUUUCUAAUUUAAAAUUUUAUAAAAUAUAAAAAGUUUAUAUGAAAAGUUUUCUAUUUUAGAGUGGCCAAAGCCCCUGCCAACUUCCGACUCGAUCACUAAACAAUAUAAAUAAAUAAAUACCACCAUCUAAAAGACUCAAGAAAAACACUCAACGAUAAAUAGAUAGAUGUUGGGUAAAGAUACGUUUGGAUGGGCGGUGCGUUUACUUGCGGUUAGUAUAAAAAUAGCGGUGGCGGUUAGAUUAGAUACUAUAGCAACACUGUAGCGUAAGACAAAAAAUAAGCUAAACGUACUGCACUGCACUUAAUCGCCCAUCCAAACUCACCCUAAGUGUACAAAAUAUGAUUUAAGUGAAGAUACGUAGGGUAGGUGUCAUGGAAAUGUAAAAGACAAGAAUCCCACUAAUGUAUGGGAUGUGUACAGCUGAAUGUAGGGAGCAAAGAGGAGUGAAUCAUUUUGGUAACAUUUGGACAAGAAACAUAAUGAACAAAAUGAAAGGAGAGGAAGCUAGUAAAAGAUUUUUUUGAGUUAUAUAAUUUGUUUGGCAUAUAUUUUUAUAAUUUUUAAAUAUCAUUUUGGAGUUGAAUUAUAAUUUCUUUUUAUGUUUUAAAACAUAAUUAUUCUAUCUUCAAAGGGUUAGAGUAGAGGUGAGCAUGGGUCGGGCUACUCGGCCCGAAAUGUGAGAGAUUUGGGCAAAAAUAUAGGCUCAAAAAAUGGACUUGGACAAAAAAAUAUAAGACCCGUUGAAAAAUGGGCCGGGCAUUGGGUAAGGCAUUUUUGGCCCUGGGCCCGGCCCAAUCCUAAUUCACUAAAGGACAAAAAAAAUUUGAUUUUUAAAUAUUAUUUUCUUCCUAUUUUGCUACCAUUUUACUAUUAUGUUGCUACUAUUUUGUUGUUAUUUUUUGGAUAUUGUAUAAAACUUAUUUUAUUGUUAAUUUUGUUAUUAUUUUAAAGACAUUUGUUAAUUUUGUUAUUAUUUUAGAGACAUUUGCUUGUUAAGUUGUAUCUAUCUUAGUGUUAUUUAAGUGUACAUAUUUUUUAAAAUUUAUUUUCAAUUUAUUGGGAAAUAUUUAUUUUGAUGUUUUUAGUAUUUUGGAUGUAUUAUAUAUAUUAAAAUUAUAUAAAAAUUAAUAUGGCCGAGCCGAGUCAGGCCCAGAUUUUAGCAUUUUUAUUCAGGUCGGGCUUGAGCAAAAUUUUAAGCCCAUUUUUUGGGCCAAACCAGGCCUGGGCUUAGCAAAUGGGCCUAAAUUUUUAGUCAAGCCCGACCUAAACCCGAUCCGGCCCAUGCUCACCUCUAGAUCAGAGCUGCCCUCGCUUUGCAUUUCUUUGAGAUUCAGUCUUAUCUACUGUUGAUUGCCCACUCAAUGGAGGGUUGAGUAGAAAGAUUUGGUGAAGCAAGCUAAGCUAUCAAUCAAGGUUGGAGAAAGCUUAGGAGGUCACAAUGCAUAAUUAUUUAAAUGUAAUUCUAAUAUUUAAAUAAAAUUUAUUAAUAUAGUAUUAACAAGCCCUAAAUGUAAUGAGUAUAUACUAUUACAUUUUUAAGAAGAGAAAACAUGUUUGAACCUUAAAAACAUCAUUAUUAAAAAUGAUAAUUACAAAUUUUAAAAUAUAAAAAAUAUAAUUAAAAAUUAAUUUUAAACCCGAGCUGGAUAAAAUUCUAAUUUUAGAUAACGAUACUAAUAAGAAAUCAAUAUUAAAAUGAAAAUGAAAAGUAAUUUAAUAUAAUUUUUGAGUCUUGGGCAAAGGCACUCAAUGAAUGCUUGGAAAGAAAUAAUGCAACUUGGUGAUAGCUUUUGUUGGAGUAGUAUGCUCUUAUUAUAGUUUUAUGUUUUUAUCUUGCAAAAACAACAUAUUGGAGUUUUCGGCAUGAUUUUUUCUUAAUACUUUACAUGAAAAAUAAUAAUGGGACUUAAAAAUCUAUCAAAAGCUUCACCAUAAUAAUAAUAAUAAUAAUAAUAAUAAUAAAUUGCUACAAUAUUACAACACAAAGUUACAAUAAGAGCUUAUAACUCAACAAAGGUUAUCAAUAAAUAAUCUCAGGCAAGCUAAAGAGAAAUGUUGAGAAUACCACCCGAAUAGUGACUGACUUUAAAAGUUGAAAACCCGAAGCUAUAGUAUCUCAAACGAAAUCAAACCAUUAACAUUAAAAUUUUCAAGUCUACUAGCUACUGUAAAAAAUGCAGCUCCAACAUACACCAAAUGAGUCUUUGAUCGAAGAAAGUACAAAAACUAGUCUGGGUAAACCAAGCUGCCAAACUUACUUAUCUUAUCUUUAAUUUUGCAGUGAAAUUAAAAAUUAAGUUUUUGUUUAUUUCACUUGGAACAACUUUCAAAAAAUUAUUUUUGAAAAAUGGAUUGGUUUUUCGAAAUAGAUGAUAUUUUAUUGUGUUAAAAUUUUAUUCGUUGUUGGAAAACUUUUUUUAAAUCAUUUUCUUAAAGUUAUUUUUAGUGAAACAAACAUAACAUAAAUAUAUUUGUUACAAAAAAAUUAUAUUAGUAUUUUCUUUUGACAAUUAAAAUUUAUUUUAUGAUAAGACAAUAUUUUGUAAUAAUUAAUAUCAUAUAUAUAUACGUAAUAAAAAAAUCUUGUUUAAUUAAAAUUUAAUUAAAAUUAAAUAUAUUAAUAAAGCUACAUAUAAUCAUAUUUUUUAUAAUUAAAAUAUUAAUAUAAAUAUUUUUCAAUAAUAUAUUAAAAUAUUAAAAUUUAAAUUAUUAUUACUUAAAUUAAUUAUUAAAAUAAAAAAUUUAAUAUUAAAUAAUUUAUUCAAUGAUAAGUUUUAUUAAUAAUUUAUUGUAUUAUUAAAUAUAAUUAAUUAAAUAUGCAUAUUUAAUAAUAUUACGUUAUAAUAUUUUAAUAUUCUUAAACAGCCAUGUUUUUAAGAUGCUGGUGAUGGUGAUGCUGCGGGCCUCUCUUGUUACAAUUACUAUAAUUUUUUGUGCAAUAAUUGAAGUUGUUGGGUGGUCAAGCAAACCUCUUUUGACUGAGAUGCAUAUAAUAUACCCGCAUGUCCCCGCCUCCUAAAAUUUAAAUUUGUUAUUUGAAUCUUUAAAUUUUUUAAUAUAAUAUACCCGCAUGUCCCCGCCUCCUAAAAUUUAAAUUUGUUAUUUGAAUCUUUAAAUUUUUUAAAAAUUUUAAAUUCAUAAAAGUAAAAUUAUACUUUGACCCUCUAAAAUUAUAAAAAUUUAAUUAAUCUUUUAAAUUCAUUGGGCCCCUAAUAUAUUGUUCAGGCUUCACCCUUGAUACUGAUGUUGACUAUUUUAGAGUAUGUGUCUUCUUUAACAGGGUUAAAUUAUAUAUUUAUAUAAUAUAGUUAUUGUUUAUGGACGUGACAUCGUAACUAGGUUCUUAUGCAUGUCAACAUAUAUCCUAUUUUAAGGUUAACACGUAUUUUUAAAUGUGAAUUCACCUAUAUAAUGGUAUGAACCAUCAUGCAGUCUCAUAAAAUAUGCGAAUAUAUGUCGUGCGAACACAAAGUACAAUCCACACAGAAUACGAAUUAAGACCCAAUUGAAUAAUCGGAUACGAAUCAGUAAUAAUGAAUUUCAUAACAGCCACCAACCCCUCUUUUGUUUUAAUUUAUUUUAUUUCCAGUAAGUUAUUGUUUGUGAGAAUUCACAACAAAUGCUUUUGUCAUUAUUUUGUUGGUAAAUAAUAAUAAGAUUAAACUUUACUUUCUUAAGCUCCUUCAAUUCUUUGGAAGUUGGUGGUUUUUUAUUCUAAUCUUAUUUUUUUUAUUAAUUUCUUUUUUUAUAAUAAAUGUGUUUAUAGAUCAGGUUGGAUUAUAAUUGAAUCAUUGUCUGGUAUUAACAUAAUUUAAAUCGAUUAAAAUUUAUUCGACUGGAAAUAUAAAUUUAAAAUUUUACUUCAAUUUAUCUUAAUUUAUAAAUUGUGAAUUUAAAUUUAUUUAUUUUCUCUCAUUAUAUUCAGUUUUUCGGAUCAUAUUUGGCCCAGAACAAAAACUAGAACAAAAAAACAAAUAUAUAUGUUUUCCAAAAAUUAAAUUGUUAACUUUAAAAAAAUAUAUUUUUAGCUAUUUAUCAUCAUAGAGAAAAACAAAUAAGGUCACCUCGCCUUAUGCUUCAACACCUCAACCUAGAUUCUCAUCACCUGUAUUUAUCAUCGAUUCAGAUUUUUAUUUUUACUAUAUUCUAGAUCUACCUAUAAAUAUAUCUUCAAACUUCCUCUGGUUAAGUUCAUUCAUAGAUAGGUGAGUAAACUUGAGCUUCAGCUUCAACAAACACCUUAGUUUGCAAUUCUCUCAUACUAAAAAUAUGGAAGUUUACCAUGUAAUUAGAGAUUUGGUCUCAUUGCUUGUUGUUGGUUUAUUAAUGAUAUGGGGAUGGAGAGCUUUAAACUGGGUAUGGUUGGCCCCAAAGAGGCUCGAAAGGUGCUUGAGACAACAGGGUUUUGCAGGGAAUCCUUACAGGUUCCUUUCUGGUGACAUAAAAGAGCUCUUAACUAUGAGCAGACAAACAAGAGCCAAACCUAUGCCUCUUAGUGAUGAUAUUGGGCCUUAUGUUGCUCCUUUUCUUCAUCAAACUGUCAACCAGUAUGGUAUGUUUAAUUAUUAUUUAAUCUUCAAUUUAUGAUAAUUCUUUGUUAUUUAUGAAUGGAAUUUAUUGGGAGGAAAUGCAGGAAAGAAUUCAUUUACGUGGAUUGGUCCAAGACAAAGGGUGAACAUUAUGGACCCUGAAAAAAUAAGAGAAAUAUUUACCAAAUUUAAUGACUUCCAGAAGGUGCGUACCAAUCCACUGCUUACUUUGCUUGUAAGCGGCCUUGUUAACCUCGAAGGAGACCGAUGGAGCAAACAUAGAAAAAUCAUAAACCCUUCAUUUCAUCAAGAUAAGUUGAAGGUAUAGAAUAGUGAUGGGUA
rnacentral:lncRNA from 1 species